UACGGAGGGGGCGAGCGUUGUCCGAAGUUACUGGGCGUAAAGCGCGUGUAGGCGGCUUGGCAAGUCGGGUGUGAAAGCCCUGGGCUCAACCUAGGAAGUGCACUCGAAACUGCCUCGCUGGAGUACCGGAGAGGAAAGCGGAAUUCUCGGUGUAGAGGUGAAAUUCGUAGAUAUCGAGAGGAACACCGGUGGCGAAGGCGGCUUUCUGGACGGUUACUGACGCUGAGACGCGAAAGCGUGGGGAGCAAACAGG
rnacentral:rRNA from 1 species